GGGUUGUGCCGCUGCGGGGACAGGCGUGGGGCGCCGCCGGGGAGCGCUUGUCCCGGGAUAAGAACCGGGGUUUAUUUCCAGGUACAUGAAGUCUCUCCAGACUUGGAGCAUAAGUACCUCGUGGGCAGCAUAUAUCAAGAAGAGAAUUAAGAGAUGACAACUUGAAAUUAUAAAGCAGUGGCAACUCUGAGUGCUCAGAGUAUGGCAGGAAGACCUGCUCAACGAAGAAUUUGAUGCGAGCCAGCCGGCUUCGGGACUCUUCUGCGGAAAGGCUAUCCUAUUACCCAGGAGCCAACAAAGUGGAAAACCCAGAACAGAAGUGUUCAGUCCUCCUGACAGUCAUUGGUGCCAAAACAUUUGCCAUUGUUCGUUUCCUCACAGUACCUGCCUUACCAAACAGUAAGUCUUAUGCUGAACUAAUUGCCCUGCUAAAGGCACAUUUUUGCCCAAGGCUAUAUGUUACCAUGCAGAGAUUUCAUUUUUUUAAAUGGGACCAAAAGGCCAAUGAAGGCAUAGCAGAUUACCUGGCUGAGCUCCAUUGCCUUGCUGAAUUUGGUGAAUUCGGGGAUCUCCUGGAUGGCCUGUUUUGCGACCGUCUUAUCUGUGGGGUUCAAGAUGAAGCAAUCCAACAUUGCCUGCUCUCUGAACCAAAUUUGACCUUGGCUAAUGCACAAGAUAAAGCCUUGGCAGCUGAAGCAGCAUCCCAUAAUGUGAGAGAAAUUCGCCAGGCAUUCUCCAGCAAUGUCCGCUUACUCCAAAAAGAUCAAGAAUCAGAUCAUCACCAGCAAAUUCAGCGGAUUAUACCCUCACCAACAGCACCCUGUAAGCCAAUUAAUCCAGAGACUUGUUUGAGUUGUGGCGGCCAAUAUAGACGAAGGGAGUGCAGGUUCAGGAAGGCAGAGUGUCAUGCCUGCGAGAAGAAGGGCCACAUUGAGAGCGUUUGCUACUCGAAGGCCAGUUCCAGGAGACAAAAAGACUGUGUCAAAUGUAUUCACUCCCAAUCAGUCCUCCCCAGAACGGGAGGAACAAAAAACUAUAUUUGAUUCAAAAUGUUGGUGUUGUUGAAACUCAAGGGUCUGAGAUGAUUGCAACUGUAGUAACAAGUGGAAAGAAGUGCAAAAUGGAAGUGGACUCAGAUUCGGGAGUAUCCCUCAUAGAUGAAACACAUUCUUCCAGUUGUUUCAGCACCCUCUCCCCGAGUUAUUGAAACCUGAGUGUCUCCUGCGUGACUACAAUGGACAGAUCAUGGAAACUUUGGGUAGCUGCAGUGUAGAUGUCCAGUAUGGAUCUGUUAGAUAGCACCUACCCCUCAUUGUCAUAAGGGUUCCCGCAAAAGUCUUCUGGGAAGAAACUGGUUCUCAGCGUUGGGAAUCAGUAUUUAAGGCAUAUACAGUCUCUGCACAGAAAGUUUAGAAAGACUUGCAAGGGAAUUUCCCUAGUUUCAAAGGGAUUAGGAACUUACCCAGGUCCACCUGUGACGUUCCAAAUGGAUCCUGCAAUAGCCCCUAUCUUGUGAAGGGUCGGCCUGUACCUGUCGCACUGCGGCUGAAAAGUGAUGCAGAAUUAAAUCGGCUUAUCGUGCAAGGGGAACUCAAGCCAAUCAUACAUACAAGCUGGGCCACACCAGUUGUUCCUGUUUUAAAACCUAACGUCAGUGUUCGCAUCUGUAGGGAUGACAAGUGCACUGUUAAUAAAGCACUUACGCAGGACCUGUGCCCAGUGCCUGCCAUUAACCAGUUACUGUCUGUUCUUGCAGGAGGGAAGGUUUUUGCCGAACUGACCUCACUCAAGCCUAGCAGCAAUUGAUAGUGGAUGACAAGGCUGCUGGGGCCCAAACAAUAAUUACACACCGGGGAGCGCUCCCUGCCAGGUGCCUCCAGUUUGGAAUUUCUGCGGCGCUUCUCGGGAAAUUCAGUCAGGAAUUUUCCAGCGGUUCAUAGAGAAAAAGCUAACAGGGAUUCCCAGGGUUGUUCCAUACUUUGAUGUGUUGAUCAUGGGGCCAUCUAGAGAGAAACUCAUUGAGAGACUCAGAGAAGUUUUACAGAGAUUCGAUAAAGCAGGUAUCAGAGUAAAUAGAACUGUCAACUGGGAGUUUCCAGUAUCAACUUUCUGGGAUAUCAAAUCGAUGCUUCUGCCAUUCACCCAGUUGAGGACAAGGUAAAAGCAAUACGUGAUGCCCCUAUACCAAAAUGCAGACAGGAUCUUCAAGCAUUCUUAGGACUUCUCAGUUGUUAUCACAUCUGACAAGUGACCAUAGCAGAGCCCCUUCAUCGCUUACUGGAUAAAGGAGGCCAGGGGAAGUGGACUUGCCAGCACAACGAUGCCUCCCAGGGCAUCAAGAAGUUGCGGACAUCAGACUCUGUCCUUGUUCACUAUGAUGAGCAGAAGCCACUGGCCAUUACUUGUGAUGCCUCACCGUUUGGUGUUGGCGCUGUCCUCAGUCACACAUUGCCCGAUGGCACAGAUGCACCCAUUGCUUUUACUCAAGAACAGUAACUUCAGCUGAGAGGAACUACGCACAGAUUGAUAAAGAAGCAUUGGCGAUCAUUGCAGGAGUUUAAACAAUUCACAAUUACGUCUAUGGCCGCAAAUUCAAAAUCCAAACGGACCACAAACCCCUUCUUGGAAUUUUUACUCUGGACAAACCAACUCCUUCAUUUUUGUCUCCCUGUAUGCAAUGCUGGAGCAUCUUGCUAAAUGCAUAUGACUAUACACUCGUGUACAAACCUGGGAAAAUGAUUUCAAAUGCUAAUGCAUUCUGCUGCCUACCACUACAAAUACCUGAUUGUGCUACUUCUCCACCAGCAGAAGUCCUAAUGCUGAAAUCCAUGCCAGAAGCCCCUCUUCAGGCUGAUCAGAUAGCAAGGAUGACUGCAAAAGACCCUAUCCUUGCCCGUGUCAUCAACUGGGUGUGGAGGGGCUGGCCUGCAGACAAAUUGGCUGAGGAAUUCAGGCCAUUUUCAUCAUGUCAGCAUGAGCUGUCUGCCCACAAGGGUUGCCUCUUGUGGGGAAAUCGUGUUGUAAUUCAUACUGACAACGCUGCAUGCAGCACACCCAUGCAUCAUGAGGAUGAAAGCGCUGGCUAGAACAUAUGUAUGGUGGCCAGGUAUGGACAAUGACAUAGAAAGGGUUGUGAGUGAGUGCAGCACUUGUCAAGCAGCCCAUCAUAAUCCACUGAAGGCACCAGUAUUCCCUUGGGGAAUGACAAAGGAAUCCUGAUCACGCAUCCACAUUGAUUUUGCUGGCCCUUUUCAAGGUAAGAACUUCUUAAUUGUUGUUGACUCGUACUCAAAAUGGCUCGAAGUGAUUGCUGUCUCAAUUCCUUAUAUCAGCUGCCACUAUAACAGCUCUCCGUCAGCUGUUUGCAACCCAUGGGGUGCCCAACGCUAUCGUUUCUGAUAACGGCCAUGCAUUCACCUCAGCAGAGUUCCAAGAUUUUGCCAGCCACAAUCUCAUUCAAACUGUUACCAUUGCACCUCGCAGGCCACAGGCCAAUGGGCAAGCUGAGCGAACGGUGCAAACUACAAAAGAUGCACUGAAAAGGAUCGUUGUAGGAGACUGGCCAACCAGACUGGCCAGAUUUCUCUUUGCUCAACAUGUAAUUCCUUGCCCUACAACAGGGUCCAGCCCAUCAGAGCUUCUUACAGGUCAUCAUCUCAAGACAUGCCUUGGCUGUGUUAACUCAGACCUUGUGAGAGACAUGCAGUUUAGGAAAGGAAAGGAGUUGGACUCCGCGUUGGCAUCUGGUACUUUACGUCUUUUCGUGCCACGAGAGACUGUGUUUGCUCGGAGCUAUGGGACGAGCCUACGGUGGGUUCAAUCUAAAAUUGUAAGUGCUGCAGGACCUGUAUCGUAUACAGUCCAGACUGAUGAUGGACAGGUUUGGAGACAUCAUGUGGACUAGAUGCAUGGACGUUCUCCUACUGAUAACCCUACACCUGAGCAAUCUCCAAGCACUAAUCCACCACUGACAGACAUGGAUUCAUUGGGGAAGUGCCUAACUGGUUCCACCAGUGCAAACCCUUUUCCAUCACCAUCAGAAAGAAGCAUCACUGUUGAGUCUCCAGAAGGGCUGACAGGGCCGUCACCCACUGAACCCCUCCCUGAGUCCGGUUCUAUGGGAAGACCACAGCAGAAGUGAAGUCCUCCCAAAUGGUUGGCUGACUAUUCUGUCUAGGGGGAAGGGUGUUGUGUCUUAUCAUGUUUUCCUUGUACUGUCCCUUGAAGGCCAAAGCCCUCACGUUCAGCGCUGCAGGGUUCAGUUUGCUUGUGGCAGUUUUGCAGCACGGGGACUCCCUUUUCUCUGCCAAGUGGAGCCAGAGGCGUUUUUGGUUCUUCUCCCUCCACAGGACUGGACUGGGUCAAGUCAGAGGCAGAGCAAGUGUAAGUUCUGCAUACCUGUACUGAGGACAGUUGUUAAGAUCCACCCUGGGUAUGAGUCCAGAGAGUUAUAAUAAUAAAUCACUGUA